UACGUAGGCAGCGAGCGUUGUUCGGAAUCACUGGGCGUAAAGGGUGCGUAGGCGGGUUUUUAAGUCAGAGGUGAAAUCCUGGAGCUCAACUCCAGAACUGCCUUUGAUACUGGGAAUCUUGAGUAUGGAAGAGGUGAGUGGAACUGCGAGUGUAGAGGUGAAAUUCGUAGAUAUUCGCAAGAACACCAGUGGCGAAGGCGGCUCACUGGUCCAUAACUGACGCUGAGGCACGAAAGCGUGGGGAGCAAACAGG
rnacentral:rRNA from 1 species